rnacentral:rRNA from 1 species
CCUACUGGAGGCAUCAUUGGGGCAUCUUGCACAAUGGGGGAAACCCUGAUGCAGCGACGCCGCGUUACUUCCUCCUUCUUUCUUUCUUUCCCCUUCUCUCCGCGGUUCCGCCCCUGCCGGUCCCUGCCUACGAAGCCCCGGCUACCUACGUGCCAGCAGCCGCGGUAAGACGUAGGGGGCCCGCGUUCUCCGGCUUUCCUGGGUGUAACGGGCGCGUAGGCGGCGAUGCAAGUCAGAAGUGAAAGCCCUGGGCUCACCUCCGGGACUGCUUUUGACCCUGUAUGGCUCGAUUGCAGGAGAGGCAAGUGGAAUUCCUAGUGUAGCGGUGAAAUGCGUAGAUAUUAGGAGGAACACCAGUGGCGAAGGCGGCUUGCUGGACUGUAAAUGACGCUGAGGCUCGAAAGCGUGGGGAGCAAACAGGAUUAGAGACCCUGGUAGUC